UACGAAGGGGGCUAGCGUUGUUCGGAAUUACUGGGCGUAAAGCGCGCGCAGGCGGUCUUCCAAGUCAGUGGUGAAAGCCCGGAGCUCAACUCCGGAACUGCCAUUGAAACUGUGAGACUUGAGGAUGAGAGAGGUGAGUGGAAUUCCCAGUGUAGAGGUGAAAUUCGUAGAUAUUGGGAAGAACACCGGUGGCGAAGGCGGCUCUCUGGACCGAUACUGACGCUGAGGCGCGAAAGCGUGGGGAGCAAACAGG
rnacentral:rRNA from 1 species